AUGAACGCUGGCGGCGUGCCUAAUACAUGCAAGUCGAGCGAACGGACGAGAAGCUUGCUUCUCUGAUGUUAGCGGCGGACGGGUGAGUAACACGUGGAUAACCUACCUAUAAGACUGGGAUAACUUCGGGAAACCGGAGCUAAUACCAGAUAAUAUUUUGAACCGCAUGGUUCAAAAGUGAAAGACGGUCUUGCUGUCACUUAUAGAUGGAUCCGCGCUGCAUUAGCUAGUUGGUAAGGUAACGGCUUACCAAGGCAACGAUGCAUAGCCGACCUGAGAGGGUGAUCGGCCACACUGGAACUGAGACACGGUCCAGGCUCCUACGGGAGGCAGCAGUAGGGAAUCUUCCGCAAUGGGCGAAAGCCUGACGGAGCAACGCCGCGUGAGUGAUGAAGGUCUUCGGAUCGUAAAACUCUGUUAUUAGGGAAGAACAUAUGUGUAAGUAACUGUGCACAUCUUGACGGUACCUAAUCAGAAAGCCACGGCUAACUACGUG
rnacentral:rRNA from 1 species